AACGAACGCUGGCGGCAGGCCUAACACAUGCAAGUCGAACGCUCUCUUCGGAGGGAGUGGCAGACGGGUGAGUAACGCGUGGGAAUCUACCCAGCUCUACGGAAUAACGCAUGGAAACGUGUGCUAAUACCGUAUACGCCCCAUGGGGAAGGAUUUAUCGGAGUUGGAUGAGCCCGCGUCUGAUUAGCUAGUUGGUGAGGUAAUGGCUCACCAAGGCGACGAUCAGUAGCUGGUCUGAGAGGAUGACCAGCCACACUGGGACGUGAGACACGGCCCAGACUCCUACGGGAGGGCAGCAGUGGGGGAAGUAUUGGACGAAUGGGCGGCAAGCCUGAUCCAGCCAUGCCGCCGUGAGUGAU
rnacentral:rRNA from 1 species